ACNUUGAUUAUGGCUCGGGACGAACGCUGGCGGCGCGCCUAACACAUGCAAGUCGAGCGGGAAGCUUUUUAAGGAUUCUUCGGAUGAAUUAAAAAGUGGAGAGCGGCGGACGGGUGAGUAACGCGUGAGAAACCUGCCCUAUACAGGGGGGAUAGCCAUUGGAAACGAUGAUUAAUACCCCAUAUGACCACAGUAUCGCAUGAUACAGCGGUGAAAACUCCGGUGGUAUAGGAUGGUCUCGCGUCUGAUUAGCUAGUUGGUGGGGUAACGGCCUACCAAGGCGACGAUCAGUAGCCGGCCUGAGAGGGUGACCGGCCACACUGGAACUGAGACACGGUCCAGACUCCUACGGGAGGCAGCAGUGGGGAAUAUUGCACAAUGGGCGAAAGCCUGAUGCAGCGACGCCGCGUGAACGAUGAAGGCUUUCGAGUCGUAAAGUUCUGUUCUUGGGGAAGAUAACGACGGUACCCAAGGAGAAAGCACCGGCUAAAUACGUGCCAGCAGCCGCGGUA
rnacentral:rRNA from 1 species